rnacentral:rRNA from 1 species
AACGAACGCUGGCGGCAUGCCUAACACAUGCAAGUCGAACGAGACCUUCGGGUCUAGUGGCGCAAGGGUGCGUAACGCGUGGGAAUCUGCCCUUGGGUUCGGAAUAACAGUUGGAAACGACUGCUAAUACCGGAUGAUGACGUAAGUCCAAAGAUUUAUCGCCCAGGGAUGAGCCCGCGUAGGAUUAGCUAGUUGGUGGGGUUAAGGCCUACCAAGGCGACGAUCCUUAGCUGGUCUGAGAGGAUGAUCAGCCACACUGGGACUGAGACACGGCCCAGACUCCUGCGGGAGGCAGCAGUGGGGAAUAUUGGACAAUGGGCGACAGCAUGAUCCAGCAAUGCCGCGUGAGUGAUGAAGGCCUUAGGGUUGUAAAGCUCUUUUACCCGGGAUGAUAAUGACAGUACCGGGAGAAUAAGCCCCGGCUAACUCCGUG